UUAAUUGGAUUAUUGCAAGGGAACGAAUGGGGUGUGUUUUGGAAAAAGCGUUGUGUUACCUAGCCGUCUUAUUGGGAAUAACAAGAGCAUCUAUCAAUACUCAAAGUUUCAUAUAUGAAGUUUUCAAGAAACUGCUCGAGUUUUAGCAAAAGUAGCUCUUCGGGGUCGGAUCGAUUGAUUGAAAGGCCUGAAAAAGAACGUUGUUUUGGGGGGUAUGAUACCUUUUGGUACCCCCCCCCCUCAAAACAAGAUAACAUUAGUCUUUUGGAAACAACAACGAAAACAACAACAAC
rnacentral:lncRNA from 1 species